ACGCUCGACACCUACGGGCGGCAGCAGUGGGGAAUAUUGCACAAUGGGGGAAACCCUGAUGCAGCGACGCCGCGUGGAGGAAGAAGGUCUUCGGAUUGUAAACUCCUGUUGUUGGGGAAAAAGAGGAUGGUACCCAACAAGGAAGUGACGGCUAACUACGUGCCAGCAGCCGCGGUAAUCUGAGGCGGGCUGGCAAGGC
rnacentral:rRNA from 1 species